GACCUGAAACCGACCGAUCUAGCCAUGAGCAGGUUGAAGAGAUCUUUAAUAGGCCUUGGAGGACCGAAACCACGCAUGUGGCAAAAAAGGGGGGUGACUUGUGGUAGGGGCGAAAGGCCAACCAAAGACAACAGG
rnacentral:ncRNA from 1 species